UACGAAGGGUGCAAGCGUUACUCGGAAUUACUGGGCGUAAAGCGUGCGUAGGUGGUUCGUUAAGUCUGAUGUGAAAGCCCUGGGCUUAACCUGGGAAUUGCAGUCGAUACUACUCAGCUAGAGUAUGGGAGAGGGCAGUGGAAUUCCCGGUGUAGCGGUGAAAUGCGUAGAUAUCGGGAGGAACAUCAGUGGCGAAGGCGGCUGCCUGGCCCAAUACUGACACUCAGGUGCGACAGCGUGGGGAGCAAACAGG
rnacentral:rRNA from 1 species